rnacentral:rRNA from 1 species
CCUACGGGAGGCAGCAGUGAGGAAUAUUGGUCAAUGGGCGGAAGCCUGAACCAGCCAAGUAGCGUGCGGGAUGAAGGCCCUACGGGUCGUAAACCGCUUUUGCACGGGGAUAAAACCCUCCACUUGUGGAGGUCUGCAGGUACCGUGCGAAUAAGGGCCGGCUAACUCCGUGCCAGCAGCCGCGGUAAUACGGAAGGCCCGAGCGUUAUCCGGAUUUAUUGGGCUUAAAGGGAGCGUAGGCGGACGUUCAAGUCAGCUGUAAAAGCGCGCGGCUCAACCGCGCCCCGCAGUUGAAACUGGACGCCGUGAGUUCACAACAGGCAGGCGGAAUGCGUGGUGUAGCGGUGAAAUGCAUAGAUAUCGCGAGGAACCCCGAUUGCGAAGGCAGCCUGCCGGGGUGCGACUGACGCUGAGGCUCGAAGGUGCGGGUAUCAAACAGGAUUAGAUACCCCUGUAGUC